rnacentral:misc_RNA from 1 species
GGCUACUAGUUGAAAAAUUCGAUUCAGAAAUCCAUUUUCGAGAUUUACAGCAUUCAACAAUGGAUUCGGUGCUUCCGAUUGCGAUUCUGUCGGCGAUCAUCGGAAUUGUGAUUGCUUUUCUAGUAUUCGGGAAUUAUUUCCAAAAGAGGAAAGCGGAAGUUGAAUCUGUAGCCAAGCCGGAGAUAAUUCAAACCAAUCAGAAGACUUCAAAGCCUCAGCAAUCUCACAAAAAUACUUCGAAGAAAUCGCAACCUAAAUCACAUUCUCACACCACCGAUCAUAAGGAUGCAAACAAAAGGCAUCACCCACUGGACUUGAAUACUCUAAAGGGUCAUGGGGAUAUUGUCACAGGAGUUUGCUUCUUACCCAAUGCACAGUCUUUGGCAACUGCUUGUGCUGACGGUGUUGUUAGGAUCUUCAAGUUGGAUGAUGCUUUGAGCAAAAGCUUUAAGUUUCUGAGAAUUAAUUUGCCUGCUGGGGGUCAUCCAAUUGCAGUUGCAGUUGCUGAUGAAACUUCCUCGGUUGCAGUGGCAUGCCAUGCUCUUUUUGGUUCUUCUCUCUACAUGUAUGGUGAAGACAAACCUAAAGCAGAUGCUGAUUCCAAACAGGCCAAGCUUCCUCUUCCACAAAUCAAAUGGGAACAGCAUAAAGUUCACGACAAAAGAGCAAUCCUAACUCUAGUUGGUACCAAGGCAACUUAUGGUAGUGCUGAUGGGAGUACUAUCAUUGUUUCAUGUUCUGAAGGUACUGAUAUUGUGCUUUUUCAUGGAAAAAGUGGCAAGAUUGUUGGAAAUGUCGAUACUAAUCAGCUCAAAAAUAACAUGGCUACUAUAUCUCCCAAUGGACGUUUUAUAGCUGCCGCAGCUUUUACUGCUGAUGUCAAGGUUUGGGAGAUUGUGUACUCGAAGGAUGGUGCUGUAAAGGAGGUUUCAAGGAUUAUGGAGCUCAAGGGGCACAAGAGUGCAGUGACGUGGCUAUGCUUUAGCCCGAAUUCUGAACAAAUAAUCACUGCAUCGAAGGAUGGUACCAUCAGAGUGUGGAAUAUUAAUGUACGUUAUCACCUUUCUGAGGACCCCAAGACAUUAAAGGUGUUCCCUAUUCCCCUUAAGGAUGCAAGUGGCACAACUUUACACUAUGAUCGUUUAUGUGUAUCACCUGAUGGAAAGAUAUUGGCCACC